rnacentral:misc_RNA from 1 species
AACUUUUGGCAACUGAUCACUUGGCUCUCGCAUCGAUGAAGAACGCAGCGAAAUGCAAUAAGUAAUGUGAAUUGCAGAAUACAGUGAAUCAUCGAAUCUUUGAACGCACCUUGCGCUCCUUGGUAUUCCGAGGAGCAUGCCUGUUUGAGUGUCAAUUAAAUUCUCAGCCACAACUGAUUCUUGUCUGGUGUGGCUUGGAUGUGGGGGUUGUUUGCUUGCAGGCUUUUCUGAAAUGAAGGUCGGCUCCCCUGAAAUGCAUUAGUUGUAUCUGAGCAGAGAACUUACUACAGGUGUGAUAAUCUAUCUAUGCCUUUUAGUAUGCUACAUCAACAGAUCGCACUGCUUCUAGCAAGUGGAAAACCUCUUUGAGGAGAGGGGGCCACAUUUGAUGAAUCUGACCUCAAAUCAGGUAGGACUACCCGCUGAACUUAAGCAUAUCAAUAAGCGGAGGCU